ensembl:lncRNA novel transcript
GGGUGUCAGGGUUCUGAGGCUCCGGCCUGACCUCUCCACGGGGUCGACGGGAACGUCUCCAGAUGCCAGGAGUCGCAAAGCGCCAAACAGGAUGAGGAAACCCCAGGCGGAGUCCGGGAAAAGCAGCACAGCAUCCCAGCCUCAGGCCUGCCCGGACCGUGUUGGUUGGGUUGACUCUCCCCAAAAGUCGUGCCGCCAUCCGUGAUCUCUAAGACAGGUCGGCCUGCGUGCCCCUGGGCUGCUCUCUCAUCCGAGGGUCGUUCUCGUCGAGAGUAGAAUCCCGCAGUCUCAGGGGUUACCUGGGGGAUCAAGAUGAACCCACUGCAGACGAGGACAAGAGCCCCAACAGGAGCUCUUUGUCCCACAGGAGAGCAGCGGACCCACGUCAGAGAAGAUGCUUGUGUCUUUUCAUGGCUCUUCUCUGAGAAAUGAAGCCACACCACGAUACAGUCAGCAAGAGGAAGCCAGGAAUGAGAGAUGGCAACAAUCCCUGUCCCUGGAACGCUGGCCUCCCUGCACAAGCCACCCUUUAGGAACCCCACCCCUUAUGCCUGUGACGGUGGCAAGGUGCUGUAUCCUGCCUGGGCUCCGGCCUCUGCUCUGUCCUCCCUCUUGCUCUGCCUCCCCUGUUUCUCAGGGGCCUGGAUGCCUCUCGCUCUGGCCAAAUGCCUUCAACAAAGAUGACUUCCCACUCCGUCAGGGAGACA